rnacentral:rRNA from 1 species
CAGUAGCCGCGGUAAAACGUAGGGUGCAAGCGUUAUCCGGAAUUAUUGGGCGUAAAGAGCUCGUAGGCGGUUUGUCGCGUCUGCUGUGAAAACUGGAGGCUCAACCUCCAGCCUGCAGUGGGUACGGGCAAACUAGAGUGCGGUAGGGGAGAUUGGAAUUCCUGGUGUAGCGGUGGAAUGCGCAGAUAUCAGGAGGAACACCGAUGGCGAAGGCAGAUCUCUGGGCCGUAACUGACGCUGAGGAGCGAAAGCAUGGGGAGCGAACAGGAUUAGAUACCCCUGUAGUCCCUGUCUCUUAUAU